UGUAGUCAAGGCAAGGGGGCAGGGUAAGGAGUGCCAGUCAUCUCCAAUGAUCGAUAGGUCACGCGAGUCACGUGUCCACUGGACAGGGGGCCUUUCCCUUUGUGGUAGCCGAGGUGGAGAGGGAGGACAGCAAACGUCAGCGUUUCUUCUAUGCACUUAUCAGAAAGAUCGAAGACUGUGGUACUCCUACUAGUUCUGCUACUGCUGUCUUCUAAGAACUUAAAAGGAGGAGCCAGGUGUACAGGCUGAACAUGAAAGUGAACAAGGAGCGUGACCACUGAAGCACAGCAUCACAGGGAGACAGACGUUGGAGCCUCCGGAUGACUGCGGGCCGGCCUGGCUAAUGUCAGACCUCCCACAAGAGACGUUGGAGCCUCCGGAUGACUGCGGGCCGGCCUGGCUAAUGUCAGACCUCCCACAAGAGGUGGUGGAGCGGAGCGUUCUCUGUCUCCCCUGGAGAGAGGGAGAUUCCCUUUCCGGGUCUGCUAAGUAACGGGUGCCUUCCCAGGCACUGGGGCCACCGCUAGACCAAGGCCUGCUAAGUAACCAGGGCCUUCCCAGGCACUGGCAUUACCGCUAGGCCAAGGAGCCCUCCAGCGGCCCUUCUCUGGGCGUGAAUGAGGGCUC
rnacentral:lncRNA from 1 species